rnacentral:sRNA from 1 species
AGCUGAUGCAUAUGGCGGUCACCUCCCAGUUCCGCCGCAUCAGCUGUUCCCCUCUGGAGGUUAGUUUGACCUUCACACUUCAUGGGCCGCGAUAUUCGCAGGCCCAUUUUU